GAAUAUGUCUUUCCAUCUAUCAAUAGUCAUAGAUGAACAAAUGCAUGUCUAUACUGUGCUUCAUUACCAUCCUCAACAGUGAAGCUCUUUAAAUGAGACUGAAGGAGCUCCUGUAGUAAAGUGUUUUGUUCUUUGUGUCAUUAGUGUAAGAUCAGACUCACAUGUGUCCAGCUCUGUGUCUGUGAAGAGUGACCGGUCAAAGGGUGGAGUACCAUACUUCAGUGAAGAAACAACAUCACGGACCAAACGGCUUCAGUAUGAAACAUUAGAUCCAGAUUUACAGUCUCACAGGAACCGCAAGAAUUUUACAGACAGUCUCCUGCAGAUCUUCCAGGAUCUUGAGAGCAAAAUAAUACAAUUUCUAAAGAAAGAACU